GGCCUGAACAAUAACUCCUGGACUUGGGACCAGAUGUUAUGGGACAUUGGAAAACCACCAAUCUUUAAGGUGCCUUGGGGCUGUGACCUGAUUGUUUUGAGGAGUUCUGCUCAGGUUUCAGUUUGGCUCUUGGCCCUGCAGACAAAUUCUUCAUUGAUAAACCCAAGAAAAAUCAUUAAUUUGAGGUUUGCCAA